AAUGAACGCUGGCGGCGUGCCUAACACAUGCAAGUCGAACGAGCGGCGGGCGGGUGAGUAAUGUAUGGAGACUGCUCGAUAGAGGGGGGGUACUACAGGAAACGGUGGCUAAUACCGCAUACUGUCGGAUGAAAGAUAUGGGGUUAGCUAGUAGGUAAGGUAAUGGCUUACAUAGGCGACGAUCCCUCGCUGGUCUGAGAGGAUGAUCGGCCACACGGGGACUGAGACACGGCCCAGACUCCUACGGAGGCAGCAGUGGGGAAUAUUGCACAAUGGGCGAAAGCCUGAUGCAGCCAGGCCGCGUGUAUGAAGAAGGCCCUAGGGUUGUAAAGUACGUUCAGUCGGGAGGCGUUACCGACAGAAGAAGCACCGGCUAACUCCGUGCCAGCAGCCGCGGUAAUAC
rnacentral:rRNA from 1 species